AGAGUUUGAUCCUGGCUCAGAAUCAACGCUGGCGGCGUGCCUAACACAUGCAAGUCGAGCGAGAAAGGGUAGCAAUACCUGAGUACAGCGGCGCACGGGUGAGUAACACGUGGGUAACCUGCCUCGAAGUGGGGAAUAACACCGGGAAACCGGUGCUAAUACCGCAUACUCUGACGAGAUCUGCGGAUUUUGUCAGCAAAGGAGCAAUUCGCUUUGAGAGGGGCCCGCGGCUGAUUAGCUAGUUGGUGAGGUAAUGGCUCACCAAGGCUACGAUCAGUAUCCGGUCUGAGAGGACGGUCGGACACACUGGAACUGAGACACGGUCCAGACUCCUACGGGAGGCAGCAGUGGGGAAUUUUUGGCAAUGGGGGCAACCCUGACCAAGCAACGCCGCGUGGGUGAUGAAGUCUCUUGGGACGUAAAACCCUUUCGACAGGGACGAAACCGCAAGGUUGACGGUACCUGUAGAAGAAGCCCCGGCUAACUCCGUGCCAGCAGCCGCGGUAAUACGGGGGGGGCAAGCGUUGUUCGGAAUUACUGGGCGUAAAGGGCGCGUAGGCGGCUCACUAAGUCGGAUGUGAAAACUCUGGGCUCAA
rnacentral:rRNA from 1 species